ensembl:lncRNA uncharacterized LOC104147946
CUAAGUGUGUUUCUCUUUGGCUUUGUAGUUAGCUGUUCUAACAAGGUGUGAUUAUGUUGUUCUCUCUUUAUAGAGUCUUGUUUAUCUUCACUCUUUCUCUUGACAGACCAGUAGGGGACUGUAAUGGUUAUGGCAACCAACUUGCAACACUACAGAAAGAGUGCAUUUCCUCCAAUUCUGAGUACUUACCUGCCGCUUCGUUGCAGGAAUCAGAAUAACCACAAGCGAAGGAAGACUGUCAAAGAUGACAAAGGGAAGAAGAGAAACAACAACUCAGCAUUUAGUGAGGAAGGUAAAGAAGUACCACCUUGAAAUGUGUAAGGAUCUCUACAGACAAAGAAAUGCCACGUAUGUGCAUUACCGAGACUUGCUGAAUAAGAAAGUUCAAAAGCAGCGAAUUCAGAUUCAAAUGUCUGAUUGUAGGCUCAAGCAAAAUCUUGAACAGCAAAGAAGAAGAAAGUGUAUCCCUGGACAUCAAGUGCCAUACUGCAAAUUGUCUCACGAUGCUAAGUACCUCGAGUCUAUUCCUCAGUCCUGUAAUUACCUGAUUGUAGGACUACAGAAUGAACUGAUUAAGCGUGGGGUCUUAAAGAACCAACAGGACUGUGAAGACUUUUGGACUCUGAUUCCCCAGAGCUGUCACAGUUCACAGCUCAAAGGAAAACUUGAGGACAUAAAAUCAAAAAUGAUUGCUUCCAAAAGUUUGCCUUCCCGUGUCCCUGUAAGAACCAGUACAGCACAGCCAACUGAUGUUUUUCUAAGCCAAAGAUAUGGGAAGCUGAAAGAAAGCUCAGCCAAUGUGUCAGAAUCAAUGUGCUGCCAACCUCUACCUCAUCAUCCAAGUAAACACAUGAAGUCCCAAAAAGAAACUGAGCAAAUAUUUCCUAAGCUGCAGUUUUCUAGGCUCUCUGAAUUGCAAAAAAGACCCGAAGAGUUGCUCCAAACUCAGGAGGAGUACAGAAUUUCUAAGAGGAGUAAGAAAUAUUUCGAACAUAAAAAGCGUCUUUUUUACUUGCAUCAUAUCUAUCAUCUUGCCUUUCUUAAUAUGGCGUCAUCCAAGAGACGGCUAGAGCAAAACAACCAGUUUGCAGAUGUUGAAAAUGAGUGCAGUGUCCAUGAUCUGAUGAUUUACUUAUUUCCAAGUGAACAUAAAUCACCAUGUGCCACUAAGAGAGAGACGGAGGGAAAUGUAUUUCCAGGCUUGGCAGGAAGGAAACAGCAGGAACAGCAUUGCAAGAGAUCCUCUAAAGCACGCACGCUUUUCAAAGAAAUGAGAAAUGAAGAUAACGGAGCCAUUGAAAUUCCAGAGGAUUGGAAAUCGAGUGUCAGUGAUUUAGCCCUACAUGAAAUGACCACUGUGCCUCUAACCCUUGAAGAUGUGGCUCUGAAACAUCCAGUGCUGGUAUGUUGGUCCUCAUUUAUUCUACGUCCUCAUAUUCAGUUCCAUAAAACCUGGGGACAUCAGGUACCAAGACUGAAGGCUUUGUCCAAUUUCUGAACUGCUGAAGAGAGAUUUGGGUUUGACUUUGCUCUCAAAUCUCAACACAGUGACAACACAGAGUCUCCAACCCUAUUUUCUGUGUGUAGGCAAGCAUGUAUCGCUAUUAGUACUAGAUCCCUAAAAGAUGGUAUUAGAAACUUGAAGUAUAGUUUCUCAGGGACCUAGUUAUAAAAUAGUUUAAUAACCUUAGAAGUACAUGGAUACUUAGAGAGGCUGAUGACUCCUUUACUUCUAACAACUGUUAUGUCUUACUUCCUUUAAAGGUAAAUACCUAUUUUCUACUACCUUGCCUAAAAUUUUAAUCAUAGAGGAAACAGUACUUAAAAGAGGGCUCCUCUAAUUUACUUCUACAGAGCUACAUGACUGUAGAUAUACAGACACAGACUCUAGCUUUUACCCUAAAAACCAGUAUCAGCCACUGCAGCAAGAGAAUAGAGAAUGUUUUCCUCUUUAACACAGAUUUUAAUAGUUUAUCUCAAUUAUUUUUGGGUUAAAAUUCCCUUAAGAUAAUACAAUUCUGUAGUAUUAUUUAGGACAUCAGAAUCAGAUCUGAUAAAAAAUAAGAAUGAACGAAUUUUGAACUUUGACUCGGUCUGGCAAUAGCAAAGCUGCUUUUUGAUUAAACAAACAAACAAAUCCCGCAACUAAAACACUGAUGUUCCUGGCUCAAAAUGUGUUAUUUCAGUUUGUUGGAAUGACACAAAAUGCUCUGGGUCAAUUCACUGUUAACCUAUAUUCUUAGUAUGUCCUUCUGACUCAUGGGACCUUAAUUCGCAUGAAAUCAGAAGCACAGACUACCUGUGUCAGACUCCCACAUCCGGUAUCUCACGUAAAUAUGGGACGUGCAGCCCAGCCGAGGCAGCACCAGUGGGAAUAAGCCACCAUCCUGGUGUGGAAUGUGUCUCAUAGAUGGGCAGGUGUUGGACUUGGCUCCCAAUACUUAGACCAGUUCAACCUACUGAAACGAUAGGACUCAGAUUUGACUUACAAUUGGAUUUUUUGUCUUGAUUAAAGACAAAAAUUGACCUUGGAUUAGGUCAAAUUAAAUAUGUUCUAUGAAAAUGCUUUCUUCUGCAAAUAUUAUACCUUCUUUCCUGCUUAAAUAAGUAAAUAAAAAUCCCAUCAAACCCUUAUCA